rnacentral:rRNA from 1 species
AACGAACGCUGGCGGCGUGGAUAAGACAUGCAAGUGGGACGCUAAUCAAAGGGUAGCAAUAUUCGUUGGUUGGAGUCGCGUAAGGGUGCGUAACACGUGGGUAAUUUGCCGUGAAGCUUGGAAUAACUUGCCGAAAGGUAAGCUAAUACCGAAUGUGACUUGUGCUGGGCAUCCAGUAUCAGUCAAAGCCGGGGAUCGUAAGACCUGGCACUUCAUGAUAAGCCCGCGGCCUAUCAGCUAGUUGGUGAGGUAACGGCUCACCAAGGCUAAGACGGGUAGCUGGUCUUAGAGGACGACCAGCCACACUGGAACUGAGACACGGUCCAGACACCUACGGGUGGCAGCAGUCGAGAAUUUUUCACAAUGGGCGAAAGCCUGAUGGAGCGACGCCGCGUGGGGGAUGAAUGGCUUCGGCCCGUAAACCCCUGUCAUUCGGGAUCAAAUCUGGUAACCUAACACGUUAUCAGUUGAUAGUACUGAAAGAGGAAGGGACGGCUAACUCUGUGCCAGCAGCCGCGGUAAUACAGAGGUCCCAAGCGUUGUUCGGAUCUACUGGGCGUAAAGGGAGCGUAGGUGGCAUUCUAAGUCUGAUGUGAAAGCUCUGAGCUUAACUCAGAAAUGGCAUUAGAAACUAGUUUGCUUGAGGAUUGGAGGGGAGAUUGGAAUUCUUGGUGUAGCAGUGAAAUGCGUAGAUAUCAAGAGGAACACCAGUGGCGAAGGCGAAUCUCUGGACAAUUCCUGACACUGAUGCUCGAAAGCUAGGGGAGCAAACGGGAUUAGAUACCCCGGUAGUCCUAGCUGUAAACGG